AUUGAACGCUGGCGGUAUGCUUAACACAUGCAAGUCGAACGGUAGCAGGCCUUCGGGCGCUGACGAGUGGCGGACGGGUGAGUAACGCGUAGGAAUCUGCCUAGUAGUGGGGGACAACUUAUGGAAACGUAAGCUAAUACCGCAUACGCCCUACGGGGGAAAGCAGGGGAUCUUCGGACCUUGCGCUAUUAGAUGAGCCUGCGUUGGAUUAGCUAGUUGGUGGGGUAAAGGCCUACCAAGGCGACGAUCCAUAGCUGGUCUGAGAGGACGAUCAGCCACACUGGGACUGAGACACGGCCCAGACUCCUACGGGAGGCAGCAGUGGGGAAUAUUGGACAAUGGGCGAAAGCCUGAUCCAGCAAUACCGCGUGUGUGAAGAAGGCCUGAGGGUUGUAAAGCACUUUCAAUAGGGAGGAAUACCCAUUGGCUAAUACCCAGUGGACU
rnacentral:rRNA from 1 species